rnacentral:tRNA from 1 species
GCCCAGUCGGUUAAGCAUCCAACUCUUGAUUUCAGCUCAGGUCAUAAUCUUAGGGUCGUGGGAUCAAGCCCCACACUGGGCU